CAAUAGCGUAUAUUUAAGUUGUUGCAGUUAAAAAGCUCGUAGUUGGAUUUCGGAUGGGAUUUGCCGGUCCGUCGUUACGAUGUGCACUGGCCAGUCCUAUCUUGUUGUCGGGGACUAGCUCCUUGGAUUCACUUCCUGGGACUAGGAGCUGACGAGGUUACUUUGAGUAAAUUAGAGUGUUCAAAGCAAGCCUACGCUCUGAAUACAUUAGCAUGGUAUAACACGAUAGGACUCUGGCUUAUCUUGUUGGUCUGUGAGACCAGAGUAAUGAUUAAGAGGGACAGUCGGGGACAUUCGUAUUUCAUUGUCAGAGGUGAAAUUCUUGGAUUUAUGAAAGACGAACUUCUGCGAAAGCAUUUGUCAAGGAUGUUUUCAUUAA
rnacentral:rRNA from 1 species